UAGAAACCUCUCUGUUGCAGACCAUUUCCAUUCCUCAAACAAACUGUCAAAUUGAAUUGCUCAAAACGAGGAUUGUGACAUGUCAGCAACGCUCUCUCCAUAAAUUUUGCAUCACUACCAAUUUAUCCAAGCAUCACUGCCGCUACAUUUUUCCACCUUCGGCGAUGGCCUAUCAAUAAUGCCAGAACAGCCAGUUUUUUUAUAUUUCUUGGAAAUCUUCUUCAGCUUCGUGGUGAUGGCCUAUCAAUAAUGCCAGAACAGCCAGUUUUCCAGUUUGGAUUUCAUUUCAUUUUAA